CCUACGCGAGGCAGCAGUGGGGAAUAUUGCACAAUGGGCGAAAGCCUGAUGCAGCAACGCCGCGUGAAGGAAGAAGGUUUUCGGAUUGUAAACUUCUGUUCUUAGUGAAGAAUAAUGACGGUAACUAAGGAUCAAGCCACGGCUAACUACGUGCCAGCAGCCGCGGUAAUACGUAGGUGGCAAGCGUUGUCCGGAAUUACUGGGUGUAUAGGGAGCGUAGGCGGGAAGCCAAGUCAGCUGUGAAAACUACGGGCUUAACCUGUAGACUGCAGUUGAAACUGGCUUUCUUGAGUGAAGUAGAGGUUGGCGGAAUUCCGAGUGUAGCGGUGAAAUGCGUAGAUAUUCGGAGGAACACCGGUGGCGGAGGCGGCCAACUGGGCUGUAACUGACGCUGAGGCUCGAAAGUGUGGGGAGCAAACGGGAUUAGAUACCCGUGUAGUC
rnacentral:rRNA from 1 species